rnacentral:rRNA from 2 species
UGGGGAAUAUUGGACAAUGGGGGCAACCCUGAUCCAGCCAUGCCGCGUGAGUGAUGAAGGCCUUCGGGUUGUAAAGCUCUUUUGGCGGGGACGAUGAUGACGGUACCCGCAGAAUAAGCCCCGGCUAACUUCGUGCCAGCAGCCGCGGUAAGACGAAGGGGGCUAGCGUUGUUCGGAAUUACUGGGCGUAAAGCGAGUGUAGGUGGUUGUCCAAGUUGGAUGUGAAAGCCUUGAGCUCAACUCAAGAAAUGCAUUCAGGACUGGAUGGCUAGAGGACCGGAGAGGAUAGUGGAAUUCCCAGUGUAGUGGUGAAAUACGUAGAGAUUGGGAAGAACACCAGUGGCGAAGGCGGCUAUCUGGACGGUUUCUGACACUAAGACUCGAAAGCGUGGGGAGCAAACAGG